rnacentral:rRNA from 1 species
GGGAUUAAGACAUGCGAGUCGAGCGUCUCCAGCUAUGGUGAGACGCGGCAGACGGCUCAGUAACACGUGGCUAACCUACCCUCAGGACAGGGACAAACCCGGGAAACUGGGGCUAAUACCCGAUAGGCGAGAGCGCCUGGAAUGGUUCUUCACCCAAAGGGCUUUGGAAGCAUGCUUUUCAAAGUCGCCUGGGGAUGGGGCCGCGUCCGAUCAGGUUGUUGGUGAGGUAACGGCUCACCAAGCCUAUAACCGGUACGGGCCGUGAGAGCGGUAGCCCGGAGAUGGGCACUGAGACAAGGGCCCAGGCCCUACGGGGCGCAGCAGUCGCGAAAACUCCGCAAUGCACGAAAGUGUGACGGGGCUACCCCGAGUGCCGUCCGCUGAGGAUGGCUUUUCCUCGGUGUAACUAGCCGGGGGAAUAAGGAGAGGGCGAGACUGGUGUCAGCCGCCGCGGUAAUACCAGCUCUCCGAGUGGUAGGGAUGAUUAUUGGGCUUAAAGCGUCCGUAGCCGGCUUAGCAAGUCUCCUGUUAAAUUCAGCGACCUAAUCGUUGAGCCGCGGGAGAUACUACUAGGCUAGGAGGCGGGAGAGGCCGACGGUACUUCCGGGGUAGGGGUGAAAUCCUAUAAUCCCGGGCGGACCACCAGUGGCGAAGGCUGUCGGCUAGAACGCGCUCGACGGUGAGGGACGAAAGCUGGGGGAGCGAACCGGAUUAGAUACCCGGGUAGUCCCAGCCGUAAACGAUG